GUUCACUAGUAGACAUGUCAGCUAGUUUACUAGUGUGGCAGUAUGGGCCGACAGCCCAGCCGCACCUUAAUUAGGUUGCUGUCUCUGCCUUUGCCUUUGGAGGGCGUAGUUUUUAAAUGUGGGUGCUUGCUCCCUGAGAGCCCUCUCCCUCUGCUCAGAGCUCUAGUCAGCCCUGCUCUCUCCUUUAAUCACAACACCUGGUCACCUCACCUGAUCGCCUCGCUGCCAGAUUGCGCUGUGUGCUCAGCUCGCUGCUCUUGGUAGGUUAAUCACAUACUUUAUUGUAUUUUUUUUUGAGUUUUGCGGUUGCCGUCAGGGUUGGCUUUUAUCUCCAACAGUUCCUCACUGGGUCUUCUCUCUCCUGCAUUGAACCGAUUGCGGGACCAAGAGUGUGUGUUCCCGCAUCCCCACACAGCUGGGGGUGAUCAGCGGAGUGGUCGAUUGAUUGAUGCGCUGCGGCGUUGUGGGUGCCUCGUUCCCUCACCCUCGUGAGGUUCAUUCAACCUUCUGACGGUAUGUGUUUAAAUGACUGCAACUCGUGCUAUUAUUAUUAAGUCUUAGUGCUAAAUUAUAUUUUUUCUCACAAUAGGUUUUGUGUGUGAGCCAUGUCGGGCUGCCCUAAACUCUCCUCUCGGGCCUCUAUCAGCUGUGCUGCUGUUUUGUUUCUGUGCUGCUGUUUUGCUCCUGUGCUGCUGCGCUGUGGUUGUUUCUGCUACCACUGUUGCCUGCUCCGCUGUACUCCUGUCUCAUCACCGUUGGUAAGGCUGUCACUGUCGCCAUCCAACUUUGAAUGGGUGGCGUCCUGCUUAGAGUGAGGUGACGUCAUCACCCUGUGGACUAAAUUUUAGGUAACCUGUUGCCUCAGCUUCCUCAUUUUGUUGGCAUUUAGCCUAUUAUGGUUUAAAUCAUUUGUUAUUAUUUUGUGAUUUGAGUGUUUGUAUGUUUUGUUUCUUCGGUUUGAUAUUUUUUUUAUUAGUUAUUAGUAUUUGGUUUAUUUACAUGUUUGUUUGGUUUGGUGAUUUCUAAAUAUGGUUGAGUUACUUUCUUUUCUUUGCUUGCUAGUUUUUCUUUCUUUUGUAUUUGUGCUUUUUUUCUGAUUUAACCAAAAUUUGCUAAUUGCAAAUCAAUUUUAUUGGCAAUAUUGUUGCUAUGGUUUAGAGAAGUGUGUGUGUUUGUGUGUGAAUGAAUGUGGAUGAAUAAGUGAAAAAUAUUUUAUUGACCGUUUAUUGGAGAAAUUGUUAAAUAAAAAUCAAAGGUAUUCAUAUACUGGACCACGGCCUCCCGUCUUCACUGGCAGACGAACCUGUGUGCGCCCUAACACUACAUUAAAAGGUAAUUCCCGAUCAGAAAAUAACCGGGCCAAUCAGAGACCGUGUUUCCACUGUUACCCGGACAACAGCCCCUGAUUGGUCCAUGUGUAGUGGUGAUGUCUAACACAAGCAGCGGGACUUUUCAAAGCGCCGUUCAUUCAGAACUUCGUUAAUUCUGCAGUUGACUCUGCAAAGUCCGCAGAAAUCGUUUAUAUCCGACGUCUUCUGCGGAUAUAAACGAUUUCUUUUGAACAUAUAUCCAUUUUUAAGCAUCAGAACAUGCCUAUUAGUAGACAUGUCAGCUAGUUUACCAGAGAAGUGAAGACAGGAUGGCCGAGUGAGUAUUUAUUGAUUUUGACAUACAGUAGGCAUAUAGACCAUAGACUAUUUAUUUUUCAAAAUAAAACUGUAAAGUUGAGCUCUUAACCAAUCAGUGAUGUCAGCUCAAUACAAGUUGCCAAGGAAUAGCCUAUUGGCCAAAGGAAAACACAAACGGUGGACAACGAAUUUGGUCAAAUGUUUUUCUUCAAAUUGUCAUUCAUUUCUUUGAAUGUGUCGCCCUCAGCGUGGUCACUAAUGCAGCAUAUUUCUGUUGGGCUCUCCAGGAUCUCUGCCGUGAUGAUGGUCGGUCUCGAUCCAGCAUGGAGAGCGGAUGGCACACGCUCACCCUUGGUGGUAUUUCUCAGUACCUGGCUCGGUGGGACCAUAGCCGCUCUGAAGAGGAGACGCUGGUGCCGCUCAGACAUCAAAACAAACCAAGCAAUAAAAUGUGCACCUGUGCAACAUGUGUAGGCUACGCCUCACUAUUUAAUAGGCAAAACCAUC
rnacentral:lncRNA from 1 species